UGGAAACAGGUGCUAAUACCGCAUAACAAUUUCUUCCGCAUGGUUGAAAUUUAAAAGAUGGUUUUGCUAUCACUUUAGGAUGGACCCGCGGCGUAUUAGCUAGUUGGUGAGGUAACGGCUCACCAAGGCGAUGAUACGUAGCCGACCUGAGAGGGUAAUCGGCCACAUUGGGACUGAGACACGGCCCAAACUCCUACGGGAGGCAGCAGUAGGGAAUCUUCCACAAUGGACGAAAGUCUGAUGGAGCAACGCCGCGUGAGUGAAGAAGGUUUUCGGAUCGUAAAACUCUGUUGUUGAAGAAGAACAUGCAUGAGAGUAACUGUUCAUGUAUUGACGGUAUUCAACCAGAAAGCCACGGCUAACUACGUGCCAGCAGCCGCGGUAAUACGUAGGUGGCAAGCGUUGUCCGGAUUUAUUGGGCGUAAAGCGAGUGCAGGCGGUUUAUUAAGUCUGAUGUGAAAGCCCUCGGCUCAACCGAGGAAUUGCAUCGGAAACUGGUAAACUUGAGUGCAGAAGAGGAGAGUGGAACUCCAUGUGUAGCGGUGGAAUGCGUAGAUAUAUGGAAGAACACCAGUGGCGAAGGCGGCUCUCUGGUCUGUAACUGACGCUGAGGCUCGAAAGUGUGGGUAGCAAACAGGAUUAGAUACCCUGGUAGUCCACACCGUAAACGAUGAGUGCUAAGUGUUGGAGGGUUUCCGCCCUUCAGUGCUGCAGCUAACGCAUUAAGCACUCCGCCUGGGGAGUACGACCGCAAGGUUGAAACUCAAAGGAAUUGACGGGGGCCCGCACAAGCGGUGGAGCAUGUGGUUUAAUUCGAAGCAACGCGAAGAACCUUACCAG
rnacentral:rRNA from 1 species